GGCCGGUGGGAAGGCCCCUCAGAGCAGCCGGCGGAUAUGCCUGACAGAAAGGUAAGGCAACUGCCGACUGACUCUCUGUGCUUGCCAGCGGCUCUGCGCGAGCUGGAGGAAUGCCUUCAGCCCGCAGAGUCGCUUUUACAGGUGAUGCGCGUCCUCCGUAGAGGAUUGAAGGAGCUGGAGGUGAAAGCGGCCGCGUCCGUGAUGACGCUGCGACAGUGGGCGGAUCGGCGCGGCGCUGGAGGCUUCAGCCGGAGGGACGCGGCGGAGACGGGAGGGAGACAACGAUUAUUGAAAGAGUAAAGGGCCAAAAGAAGACCUGAAUUCUAGGUGAUCAAAUACAGGAAAUUCUACCUGGGUCUGAAGACAUCACUUCCGGUUCUGGCUCCAAUGACAUCACUUCCGCUGACCUGCCUUAAAACCCCCAACGACCUCCCUCUGUAAUCAGUUCGAUUGUGGACUCAAUUCUGUACACAACUGUACUACAAACUUGGCCUUUUUGCAGCCAGGAUUCGGGCACAUGGGUGGCUGCCCCAAACCUGUGAGUCAAGUUGUAUCAUUUUCACACACCUUAUGGUUCUUUUCCGCCUUGUGUGGUUCCUCGUAGAAGUAUGGUUUGACAAAGCACCAUUCUAUUCUGGGACAGGCUCUUUGCAUAUGACGUUUGUUCUUUGUGCUUUGAAAAACUUCCUAAUAUGCAGAAAAACACUGAAAUCUUUAACAUACUAGCAGGACACUAACAAAUUUUAAAAACCGGAACUUGGCCUGUGCUAUUGCAUGCAGCAAGAGUCCUUUUAAAAUCAUCACCCAUUGGUAUUUCACA